UACGAAGGGGGCUAGCGUUGCUCGGAAUCACUGGGCGUAAAGGGUGCGUAGGCGGGUUUCUAAGUCAGAGGUGAAAUCCUGGAGCUCAACUCCAGAACUGCCUUUGAUACUGGAAGUCUUGAGUAUGGGAGAGGUGAGUGGAACUGCGAGUGUAGAGGUGAAAUUCGUAGAUAUUCGCAAGAACACCAGUGGCGAAGGCGGCUCA
rnacentral:rRNA from 1 species